rnacentral:rRNA from 1 species
CCUACGGGGGGCAGCAGUGGGGAAUAUUGGACAAUGGGCGAAAGCCUGAUCCAGCCAUGCCGCGUGUGUGAAGAAGGCCUUCGGGUUGUAAAGCACUUUCAGUGGGGAAGAAAGCCUUGGGGCUAAUACCCUCGAGGAAGGACAUCACCCACAGAAGAAGCACCGGCUAACUCCGUGCCAGCAGCCGCGGUAAUACGGAGGGUGCGAGCGGUAAUCGGAAUUACUGGGCGUAAAGCGCGCGUAGGCGGUCUGAUAAGCCGGUUGUGAAAGCCCCGGGCUCAACCUGGGAACGGCAUCCGGAACUGUCAGGCUAGAGUGCAGGAGAGGAAGGUAGAAUUCCCGGUGUAGCGGUGAAAUGCGUAGAGAUCGGGAGGAAUACCAGUGGCGAAGGCGGCCUUCUGGACUGACACUGACGCUGAGGUGCGAAAGCGUGGGUAGCAAACAGGAUUAGAUACCCGGGUAGUC